UACGAAGGGGGCUAGCGUUGCUCGGAAUCACUGGGCGUAAAGCGCACGUAGGCGGACUCUUAAGUCAGGGGUGAAAUCCUGGAGCUCAACUCCAGAACUGCCUUUGAUACUGGGAGUCUUGAGUUCGGGAGAGGUGAGUGGAACUGCGAGUGUAGAGGUGAAAUUCGUAGAUAUUCGCAAGAACACCAGUGGCGAAGGCGGCUCACUGGCCCGAUACUGACGCUGAGGUGCGAGAGCGUGGGGAGCGAACCGG
rnacentral:rRNA from 1 species